AUGUUCUGCCACGACAUACGAUCCUCAUGCACGUCCCCUUGGUCGAUCUUAUCUGGUAGUCGCGCACGUCCUCCUCGUUGGCUCAUAUCCGGCCUCUCUUCUCGAAACAAGCACCCCCCGGUGCCACCACCAUCGCGCGCCCCCGGUCUUCGUCAAGGCCAUGGAGGGGGAUAUGGCCACGGACUAGCCCGGCGUCGGCACGUAAUUUCCGCGUCGAUCCGCUCCGAUGCGCACGUCAUUUCCAUACUUCGGCAGCUCAUAUGCUACGUCGUCAAGCCCGGGGUCUUCUCCGGAAGGGCGGUGCUCUCCCUUGCCAGCGUGGCUCUAGCCAUAGUCUACUUCGUCGUUCUGACGUUAUCAAAGGCACGCCAAGCUGGGGGCCACAGUAGAACAAGGCAUCGCCAUGUGCCAGCCCGUGAUCCCGCAGCAGGGCAGCGAACUGGUGUGUUCGUCCAUGUGACUAUCCGUAGUGAGAGUAACAUAGUUAGUAACAUCACACUUAUCUAUACAAAAUAA
rnacentral:rRNA from 1 species